AUGGAACUACCUGGAGCCCAUCACUUCCUGGCUCAGAAUUGCUAAAGACAUGGGUGUUCAUCAAUCCACAGUAAAGACAAACUGUCUACAAGUGGAGAAAAUGUAAGACUGUUGCUUCUCACUCCAAGAGCACGACAGGCAACCAUGAAAGGUAGGAAAGAACCCAAGGGUAACAGCAAAAGACCUCCAGAAAACUCUACAAACUACAAAAGUCCUUUUUCAAUUGUCCAAUAUCAGAAAAACACUGAACAGGAAUAGUGUUCAUGGAAGGACACAUGAAGGAACUAAAGAAAGAAAAAAAAUAGUGGCAUAUCUCAAGUUUUUGCAAAACAACACGGAUGUUCCACAACACUUCUGGGAGAAUGUGCUCUGUACAGAUGAGACAAAAAUAAAAUUUUCUGGCAAAAUGAAAACCUCAUCCCAUCGGUGAAGCUGAUUGGAGGGAGCAUCAUGGUUUGGGUCUGCUUUGCUGUCCCAAGGCAUGGAAGCCUUGCAAUCAUUGAGGGAACAAUGAAUUAAAAAGUUUAUCAAGUUUAUUUAUCAUUUUAUAUAGGAGAAUGUCAGGGCAACAGCCAAUGACCAUUAGCUUAAAGGGACACUAUAGUCAGAAAACAAAUGACAAUAUUUGAAAAAAGAAUGUGUUUUUGUAAUAUAUAUUACAUUUUUUUGCAUUUAAAAUUGAUAGUCAACUUG